rnacentral:rRNA from 1 species
UACGUAGGGUGCGAGCGUUAAUCGGCAUUACUGGGCGUAAAGCGUGCGCAGGCGGUUAUGCAAGACAGAAGUGAAAUCCCCGGGCUCAACCUGGGAACUGCCUUUGUGAAUGCAUGGCUAGAGUGCGGCAGAGGGGGAUGGAAUUCCGCGUGUAGCAGUGAAAUGCGUAGAUAUGCGGAGGAACACCGAUGGCGAAGGCAAUCCCCUGGGCCUGCACUGACGCUCAUGCACGAAAGCGUGGGGAGCAAACAGG